rnacentral:lncRNA from 1 species
UUUCUUUCUUCUUUUCUCUAUACGUUGGUGUUCUAACCAAUAAUCACCGAUGCGAUGCUCUGUCCGAUCGAUUCAUGAACCAUCCAACAAAUACCGAAGUGCUGUGCUUUGUGAAUUUCGUUAAACGGAUGCCAAAGUAUUAUACUUUGAGAGUUCGUUAAAUGGAUGCCAAAGUACUAUACUUUGUGAUUUCGGUAAACGGAAUCCAAAGUGUUACACUUUGUGAAAUUCGUUAAGGUUCGAAUCUCGUGACUACCGUUAAGGUUUGUUUUGGAUUUUACACAAAUACGUAUUCCAUUCUGUUAAAACUAUAUAUUUAACUACCAAAAAUACUCCCAACUACACACUCACAAUCAAACAAACUAUUAAAUCAUCAGAAGAUCCAGAAUAAUAAAGUGUAUGCUUAAUUAUCGGAAGAAGUAGAAUCAAGAAGCUUGUUAACUCAAUCUUGCAUGCUUAUAAAGUAAUUACAGUAUAUUGGAGUAAGAAUUGGAUCCGGCACCGAAGGCAUCAAGAAGUGGCUUAUUUUAUUAAUUAAAUCAAAUUAAGAAAUAUUGUUUUUAUUAAAAGCUACCUUUGUAAAACAUGGAAUUUAUUCCAUCUAUUUAAAUAAAAUCCGGUGUUUCUAAACUCUGAUAUUUUCCUAACUCACAGUCCUGAUGAAAUUUCCGCUGCAAUGUUUUUCAAAAUAAUCACCGGUACCACGGGACUGCUCACGGCACCGAUUCCGGCCAGAUGGGGUUGGGGGUCGUGACACCUCACAAACAAAAGUCAACAUCUAUUUUACAUAUUUCAUGCAUUCUAAGUUGUGAUGUCAUCAAUGAUGUCACCUAUGUGAUGUCAUUUAUGAUGUCACCUAUGUGAUGUCAUGCUUGUUCAAAUCCGCAACGAACCCGAGACUCGACAUAAGACGAAGACGACAGAUGAAUGCACCAACAGACUCCCCCUCAGAUGUUGACGAGUCUUAAGUGUCGAGUCUUCAACGUCUUUGGUCUUUAUCAGUCUUAACGCUCUCUGAAAUAUCUCACAGUGUAAGCAUCCUCAAAUCUUUCUCUUCUCUUUUUAUCAGCAUCAACAGACUCCCACGAACAAUCUCUACUCGGAUGUCUUCAGACUCCCACUUUCAAUAUGCUGGGAUCGCAGUCUGGCAUGUUGAAAUCACAAAGUCUUCAGGUAUUGGAACCUGGCACUCAAUCUUCAGAUAACCUUCACAUUCUCUACCCAAAAAUAAAUUUUCUGAUGAUAACAUGUAAAACUAAUCUCAUCAUCUAAUGAAUCACUAGCAGAAAUUAUACAAUCAAAGAAUGAUUUUACAAUGUUAAUCUUUGAAAAACCAUUUAAAGAUAUAUCAUUUUUCAAAACAACACACUAUCCCAACCCAUCUGUUCAUCAUGUUUAGCACUCGGAAUUUUGAAAAUCAACUUUUCAAUAUCAGUUGUCAAAAAUCUUUUUGUAUUUUUCAAAAAUUUAUGCUAAAACACACUGAAAAUCUUUUUGGAUUUUUGACAUAAGAGAAAUAAAAUGCAGUAAAGAAAUAUUUACAAACAUUAUUUUUGUGAGUUUGUGUAAGAGGAUCAUAUCAGCUUAUGAGACAAAUCACCAACACCGUUAAGCUUGAUUUCAUUUUAAGUUUUAAACAAUUUACCUAGAUUGUCAGUAUACUGGUCCACUUAAAUUUUCACACAAAGUUCAACUGAUCCGAGAUACGAUAUUAAUGUCUUAGAAACUAAAACUUAUCCGUGUGUCCCACUACUUGAAUAUACUCCCGUAUCCAGAUCCUAAUAUUUAGUCUUACAGGUGAAUAUACCACAGAUGAUAUCUGUAAGGGGUUAGGUGCGAAACCGUGAGAGCUCAGGUCAGAACUUCCGUUCAGCAGAGAGAUGACGGCUCGACUUUUGGUGGGUCCCCUUUAGAGGAUCUUUUUUACAACAGCAAUGACUAUCAAUUUUAUUGUUUCAUCGAUUUGCUGAGGGCGGCGCUUUUUCAAGCAUUUGCAGAAAGUAUUAUCCGGGGACUAGGUCAAUACUUCCAUAGAGCAAAAGUCCCGGGAUAAUACCCCAGAUAUCACUAAGCAUAAAGACCUAGUAUCUCAGAAUAAGGGAUCUUUCAAACAAGAUUUCAGGGGUUACCUAUAUAUCCAAGAAGUUGUUACCCACAGAAUAAGCAAGUUUGAAUUUUUACGGUUUAUAUCUCUUCACAAUUUACUAAAUGUGUAAAAAUCUACUGACACAUCCGUAGUAAGAUUGUUUAUCACUUUUAAACUUUCCAAUUCUUUAGCAUGUUGUAAUAGUCCACUGAUGUCUAUCAUUUCCUCUUUUUC